CCUACGGGAGGCAGCAGUGGGGAAUAUUGCACAAUGGGGGGAACCCUGAUGCAGCGACGCCGCGUGAGUGAAGAAGUAUUUCGGUAUGUAAAGCUCUAUCAGCAGGGAAGAAAAUGACGGUACCUGACUAAGAAGCCCCGGCUAACUACGUGCCAGCAGCCGCGGUAAUACGGAGGGGGCAAGCGUUAUCCGGAUUUACUGGGUGUAAAGGGAGCGUAGACGGUUAUGCAAGUCUGAAGUGAAAGCCCAAGGCUCAACCAGGGGACUGGUUUGGAAACUGUAAAACUGGAGUGCAGGAGAGGUAAGGGGAAUUCCGGGGGUAGGGGUGGAAUGGGUAGAAAUUA
rnacentral:rRNA from 1 species